UCGCUAUUAGAUGAGCCUACGUUAGAUUAGCUAGUUGGUAAGGUAAUGGCUUACCAAGGCUGUGAUCUAUAGCUGGUCUGAGAGGACGAUCAGCCACACUGGAACUGAGAUACGGUCCAGACUCCUACGGGAGGCAGCAGUGGGGAAUAUUGGACAAUGGGCGAAAGCCUGAUCCAGCUAUGCCGCGUGAGUGAAGAAGGCCUUCGGGUUGUAAAACUCUUUCAAUAGGGAAGAUAAUGACGGUACA
rnacentral:rRNA from 1 species